rnacentral:lncRNA from 1 species
GUACUAAGGACUGGGGAUUUAGCUCAGUGGUGCUACCGCCUACCUUGCAAGCACAAAGUCUCAAGUUCGAUCCCUGGUAUCAAAAAAAAAAAAAAGAUUCCACUAAUUAAACUUCUACUAGACACACUUAGGAUUUGACAUUCUCUGAAAUAAUGAUGUCUUUUUUUUUUUUUUUUUAAAGAAUGACAAUUUCCUUGGCCAAGGAUUUAGCUCAGUGGUUCCACCACCUGCCUCAAAAGCGCAAGGUCCUGAGUUCAAUCCCUGGUACCGCAAGAAUGACAAUUUCCUUCAUUCCCUAAAACAUUUGAAGCACAGGCACUUUGGUGAACAAAAAGGAUACAUGCUUUUGGUUGAAUAAAAGCAAGAUCGGUCAACAUUUUAAAUCAGUUUAAGAAGUAGUAAGAACCUGAAGUAUGGAAAUGAAAACCAUCUUUUACUGAGAGUUCUCACUUUUAUUAGUUUUAGAGAGAACAAGGGCAAAUCUCUCAACUGUAACAGAGGCCUCCACUUCAGCUUGAGUUUCAAGGAUACCAGGAGAACUAAGUGUAAUCCUUCCAGCCCCAUCAGCAUCCUCAGGACCAACACCAAACAGGGUAAGAGAGAAAAGAGGACCCAUGAGGGCACUACAAAUCAGUCCUAGGUGGAGGAAGAAGAAAGGGCCAGAGAAGUAAAAUAGACAAGAAAAGAGGAGCAGAAAGGAGAAAAUGAAGAAACAUUUACUC